rnacentral:rRNA from 1 species
UGGGGAAUUUUGGACAAUGGGCGAAAGCCUGAUCCAGCAAUGCCGCGUGCAGGAUGAAGGCCUUCGGGUUGUAAACUGCUUUUGUACGGAACGAAAAAGCUUCUCCUAAUACGAGAGGCCCAUGACGGUACCGUAAGAAUAAGCACCGGCUAACUACGUGCCAGCAGCCGCGGUAAUACGUAGGGUGCGAGCGUUAAUCGGAAUUACUGGGCGUAAAGCGUGCGCAGGCGGUUAUGUAAGACAGAUGUGAAAUCCCCGGGCUCAACCUGGGAACUGCAUUUGUGACUGCAUGGCUAGAGUACGGUAGAGGGGGAUGGAAUUCCGCGUGUAGCAGUGAAAUGCGUAGAUAUGCGGAGGAACACCGAUGGCGAAGGCAAUCCCCUGGACCUGUACUGACGCUCAUGCACGAAAGCGUGGGGAGCAAACAGGAUUAGAUACCCGCGUAGUCC